UAUGACGUACCUUGUGUUGGGUGGAGAAAAUAAAACCCUUAUUACGUAUUCCUGUCUUCAAAUCAUUAAUCAACAUGACAAAGUCUGCCCCCCCACACACACACUUAAUUUAGGUUAGUGUGUAGUCAAGGCUUUGUCAUUAUUGUGCUUAUCUUUCAGAUCUGCCAACCAGGCUCGGUGGGUGACAGGUAACCGUGUUUCCACCAAGCUGUUCCAGGCCUGGAGUGGCACGCUGGCUCUUCCAGAGGCUUGUAGACCUGAAGCAGUGAUGUGGUCCAGAUCUGACACCCCUAUUAGCUCAACCACAGCCCUCACAGCUGCAUUCGUCUGCCCCUGCUACACUGGCCGCGACAGGUGAUACAGAUCUGUCACCCCCAGCAGUUCAGCUGCAGUCACAGCAGUCCUCUGCUGUGGUAUUUAAUUUUAGGCUGCACAAGUUCCUACUACACUGGCCGUGAAGGGAGACACUUUUGAGGAUUCCCAGAUGGAUACAGAUCUGCCAUGCACUCCACCACUGCCUGACAGCCUCACCCAGAAGUGCAUACAAUGGGCCUAUCAAGACUGACACUGAAAAAUAAAACACAACAUGCACACACUCUCUCUCUGUCACACACACAAACACACACAUUAUCCCCAAUGCAAAUAAGUUGUAAUUACUUUUUAAUUGUAUAUUUGCUCCAUUCCCUGGCUAUCCAUCCACAUUGCUCAAGUCAAAGUUUGUUCUCCACAAUGAAUGUAGGUAGCGAUUAUAAUUCAGGGUGAGUCAUCAGGCAACCAAGGCCAAGGAAUGGAGAGAGAUGACCUGGAGGGAGUUCCAGACCUCAGCUUUUAUAAAGCAGAAAAGCAGAGAUGGGUGACUAACAACAAAAUAAAACCCACACUCUCUCCCACACACACAUUAGUAUGUAAAUAUGUCAAUAUAUUUUAAUUACUUGUUUAUUUUAUAUCUAUGCUCCAUUUUAUUUAGGAUUGGAGAUAUUUAGGCCUACAGAUGGUGUUAUCCAUUUCCCACAACAGACAUGUGCAGUUGUGCUUACUCACAGUUGGUGGAGAGGGCAUGGUUAGGAGAGAUGGUGGCUGACAAGGUAAAAUAAAAUACAACAUGCACACACUCUCUCUCUCUCGCUCUCCCACACACGCACACAAUAGUCUGUGUGCUUUUGUCUGAGUUACAAAACAUGACUCUCUCACACACACACCCACAUUAGACCCAAUGUAAAUAAAUUGUAAUGACUUUUUUAUUGAUGUAUGCUCCAUUUUAU